CCUACGGGAGACUGCAGUAGGGAAUAUUGCUCAAUGGGGGAAACCCUGAAGCAGCAACGCCGCGUGGAGGAUGAAGGUUUUCGGAUUGUAAACUCCUUUUGUUAGAGAAGAUAAUGACGGUAUCUAACGAAUAAGCACCGGCUAACUCCGUGCCAGCAGCCGCGGUAAUACGGCGGGUGCAAGCGUUACUCGGAAUCACUGGUCGUAAAGAGCGCGUAGGCGGGAUAGCAAGUCAGAUGUGAAAUCCUAUGGUUUAACCAUAGAACUGCAUUUGAAACUUUUAUUCUAGGGUAUGGGGGAGGUAGGUGAAAUGCUGGGUGUAGGGGGAAAUUCCGUAGAGACCAAGAGGAAUACUCAUGGCGAGGGCGACCUGCAAUAACAUAACGGACGCUGAUGCGCGAAAGCGUGGGGAGCAAACAGGAUUAGAGACCCCAGUAGUC
rnacentral:rRNA from 1 species